UACAGAGGAUGCAAGCGUUAUCCGGAAUGAUUGGGCGUAAAGCGUCUGUAGGUGGCUUUUUAAGUCCGCCGUCAAAUCCCAGGGCUCAACUCUGGACAGGCGGUGGAAACUACCAAGCUGGAGUACGGUAGGGGCAGAGGGAAUUUCCGGUGGAGCGGUGAAAUGCGCAGAUAUCAGGAGGAACACCAAUUGCGAAGGCAGCUCGCUGGGACGUUACUGACGCUGAGACGCGAAAGCGUGGGGAGCAAACGGG
rnacentral:rRNA from 1 species